rnacentral:rRNA from 1 species
UGACCUCAAAUCAGGUAGGACUACCCGCUGAACUUAAGCAUAUCAAUAAGCGGAGGAAAAGAAACUAACAAGGAUUCCCCUAGUAACUGCGAGUGAAGCGGGAAAAGCUCAAAUUUAAAAUCUGUCAGUCUUUGGCUGUCCGAAUUGUAAUCUAGAGAAGUGUUAUCCGCGCUGGACCGUGUACAAGUCUCCUGGAAUGGAGCGUCAUAGAGGGUGAGAAUCCCGUCUUUGACACGGACUGCCAGGGCUUUGUGAUGCGCUCUCAAAGAGUCGAGUUGUUUGGGAAUGCAGCUCAAAAUGGGUGGUAAAUUCCAUCUAAAGCUAAAUAUUGGCGAGAGACCGAUAGCGAACAAGUACCGUGAGGGAAAGAUGAAAAGAACUUUGGAAAGAGAGUUAAACAGUACGUGAAAUUGCUGAAAGGGAAACGCUUGAAGUCAGUCGCGUUGUCCAGGGAUCAACCUUGCUUUUGCUUGGUUUACUUUCUGGUUGACGGGUCAGCAUCAAUUUUGACCGUUGGAAAAAGGUCAAGGGAAUGUGGCAUCUUUAGAUGUGUUAUAGCCCUUGGUUGCAUACAAUGGUUGGGAUUGAGGAACUCAGCACGCCGCAAGGCCGAGUAAUUUUACUACGUACGUGCUUAGGAU